AUUGAGACUUUAGUUUCUUCUGAAUAUCGAAAUAUCUCUUCAAUUGAUAUUUUAAACCUUGGUGCUGAACUUGGAAAUAAAAUCCCAACUGCAAUUGCAGAGGAUAUUGUUUCGAGGUUAACAGCAAGAGGGUGGUUUACUGAGCUUUCUGGCCAUAUUUCAUUUGGUCCACGUGCAGUAAUUGAGCUCAGUCAUUACAUAAAGGACAAAUUUCAAAACCAAAUUACUGAUUGUCCACUAUGUAACGACUGUGUUAUAUUGGGUGACAAAUGUGAAAGCUGUGAGAAACGAUAUCAUAAGUAUUGUAUUGCUACAGUUUUUCAAAACGUUGAUGUAUCUGACCGAAACUGCCCAUCUUGUAAAGUAUGUUGGACUAAUCAUGUUAUUAGUAUUCCGAAAGGAGAUAAUUUAAACA
rnacentral:lncRNA from 1 species